rnacentral:rRNA from 1 species
GGAAAGCUUUUGCGGUUUGGGAGGAGUCUGCGUUGUAUCAGGUAGUUGGUGGGGUAAUAGCUCACCAAGCCACUGACGCAUAGCGGGUGUGAGAGCAUGACCCGCCAGAAUGGGACUGAGACACGGCCCAUACUCCUACGGGAGGCAGCAGUGAGGAAUCUUCCGCAAUGGGCGAAAGCCUGACGGAGCCAUACCGCGUGCAGGAUGACACCUUUCGGGGCGUAAACUGCUUUUCUGAAGGAAUACAUUCUGAAGGUACUUCAGGAAUAAAGGUCGGCUAACUACGUGCCAGCAGACGCGGUAAUACGUAGGAACCUAAGCGUUAUCCGGAAUCACUGGGCGUAAAGCGAUCGAAGGUGGACCAGUAAGUCUGAUGUUGAAUACCCAACGGCUCAACCGGGGUGCUGCGUUGGAAACUACUGGACUAGAGGAAGACAUAGGUAGCUGGAAUACUUGUAGUAAGGGUUAAAUCCGUAAGAUAACAAGAGGAACACCGAAAGCGAAGGCAUGCUACUGGGUCUUUCCUGACACUGCGCGAUUCGAAAGCGUGGGGAUCGAAAGGGAUUAGAUACCCCUGUAGUCCACGCCGUAAACGAUGAAUGCUCGGCGUUCGAUUUUUAAUCGAUUGAGUGCCCAAGCUAACGCGUUAAGCAUUCCGCCUGAAGAGUACGACCGCAAGGUUAAACCUCAAAGGAAUAGACGGGGAUCCACACAAGCGGUGGAGCAUGUGGUUUAAUUCGACAAUAAGCGGGGAACCUUACCAGGACUUGACAUCUUCGGAAUUUGCUGGAAACAGCGAAGUGCCUUCGGGAACCGAAUGACAGGUGUUGCAUGGUUGUCGUCAGCUCGUGCCUUGAGGUGUUCGGUUAAGUCCGUUAACGAGCGCAACCCUCGUCGUAUGUUGUAUUGUUCAUACGAGACUGCCGGUUUUACACCGGAGGAAGGUGAGGAUGACGUCAAAUCAGCAUGGCCCUUAUGUCCUGGGCGACACACGUGCUACAAUGGCCGGUACAAAGAGCAGCAAAGCCGUAAGGCGGAGCCAAUCUCAUAAAGCCGGUCCUAGUUCGGAUUGAGGGCUGCAACUCGCCCUCAUGAAGCUGGAAUCGCUAGUAACCGUAGAUCAGCCAUGCUACGGUGAAUAUGUUCCUGGAUCUUGUACUCACCGCCCGUCAAGUCAUGAAAGAUAGGGGCGCCCGAAGUCGCGUUACCCCCUCGGGGGG